rnacentral:rRNA from 1 species
AUGAACGCUGGCGGCGUGCCUAAUACAUGCAAGUCGAGCGAACAGACGAGGAGCUUGCUCCUCUGACGUUAGCGGCGGACGGGUGAGUAACACGUGGAUAACCUACCUAUAAGACUGGGAUAACUUCGGGAAACCGGAGCUAAUACCGGAUAAUAUAUUGAACCGCAUGGUCCAAUAGUGAAAGACGGUUUUGCUGUCACUUAUAGAUGGAUCCGCGCCGCAUUAGCUAGUUGGUAAGGUAACGGCUUACCAAGGCAACGAUGCGUAGCCGACCUGAGAGGGUGAUCGGCCACACUGGAACUGAGACACGGUCCAGACUCCUACGGGAGGCAGCAGUAGGGAAUCUUCCGCAAUGGGCGAAAGCUUGACGGAGCAACGCCGCGUGAGUGAUGAAGGUCUUCGGAUCGUAAAACUCUGUUAUUAGGGAAGAACAAAUGUGUAAGUAACUAUGCACGUCUUGACGGUACCUAAUCAGAAAGCCACGGCUAACUACGUG